rnacentral:tRNA from 1 species
AGGGGCGUCGUAUAAUGGUAGUACAACGGUCUCCAAAACCGUUUGUGAGGGUUCGAUUCCUUCCGCCCCUGCCA